rnacentral:misc_RNA from 1 species
UCUCCGUAGGUGAACCUGCGGAGGGAUCAUUAAAGGAUAUGGUGGACCCCGGCGUCCCCGUCCCCACCCUGUUGUUGACCAAACCCCUUUUUCCUCGGGGUCACAGCGGGCUCCGCCGCCCCCUGUGGACCAACCAACCCUGUCUCUGGACGUCUGAGUCUUUGAUAAAUAAAUGAAAACUUUCAACAACGGAUCUCUUGGUUCUG